AGCUACAUUUCCUCUGCCCACAUGCCAGCUCUCCUGGAAAGUUGCAGAUAUGGGAGUUGUCAACCUGCAUUUCAGUGCCAAUAUUGUGGAGGAAGAGCAUGUGCACUUCCAGGGUGGAGUUCUCCUCUUGCUGGUGUCUCUGAAGGCAGCUCUGUGGAAAAAUUAAUUAUGACUACAUGAGAUGACAUUGCCAUGUAUGCUGAAUGGAGAACAAGAAGGAAAGAGCAAAUUGUAAUAAAAUUCUUUUUACUGGA